rnacentral:rRNA from 2 species
UGGUGGGUAGUUUGACUGGGGCGGUCUCCUCCCAAAGCGUAACGGAGGAGCACGAAGGUUAGCUAAUCCUGGUCGGACAUCAGGAGGUUAGUGCAAUGGCAUAAGCUAGCUUGACUGCGAGCGUGACGGCGCGAGCAGGUGCGAAAGCAGGUCAUAGUGAUCCGGUGGUUCUGAAUGGAAGGGCCAUCGCUCAACGGAUAAAAGGUACUCCGGGGAUAACAGGCUGAUACCGCCCAAGAGUUCAUAUCGACGGCGGUGUUUGGCACCUCGAUGUCGGCUCAUCACAUCCUGGGGCUGAAGUAGGUCCCAAGGGUAUGGCUGUUCGCCAUUUAAAGUGGUACGCGAGCUGGGUUUAGAACGUCGUGAGACAGUUCGGUCCCUAUCUGCCGUGGGCGCUGGAGAAUUGAGGGGGGCUGCUCCUAGUACGAGAGGACCGGAGUGGACGCAUCACUGGUGUUCGGGUUGUCAUGCCAAUGGCACUGCCCGGUAGCUAAAUGCGGAAGAGAUAAGUGCUGAAAGCAUCUAAGCACGAAACUUGCCCCGAGAU